AGUAGUAACAAAGUCCCUAAUUUCCACUGAAGAUCCUGAAGGUAAAGAUAUCAUAUAUAUAUAUAUAUAUAUAUAUAAAAAAAGAAAUAUUAAUCAGGAUGUCAUUUAUGCCAUCAUAUGAUCUCUGAAAAAAAUGCACCCACAAGUUUCUGCCAUUAAAACAAAAUGAGUACAUUGGUGGCAUUUGAAUUCUGCCAAAACAACAACAACAACAACAACAACAAAAAACAGAGCCCAUUAUUUUCUCCCAAGAGUCAGCUUGUUAUUUUGCUGAAAAUAAAUUAUACUGGAUAUCCACACUUUCUCUUUGGUGCUUUGACCUAGGAGGACAUAAUGAAGAGUGAUUUACAAACAACAAACUACUGAUCCUCCUGGGGGAAACUUGUCCUUUGUAUUUGACCUCUUCUCAGUAUUCAUAGUGAGCCGGGGCUUUAGCAGCUGAUACCAAACAUGGGUGUCUUUUUAAGUGAUACACAGAUACAGAGGAGAUCAUACAAAAUCCACACAGAAAAGAACUAAUAGUGAAAGUCAAACCCAGUUUAACCACUGAACCACCAUUAUAUGUCAUUUAAAUUAUAUAAUUUGCAAAAUAAGUUGUGCAGCUGAAUUAAUAAUUGUUAGACUGUGCACUGUACAUGGCCACUGUAACUGAAGAAUUUGUUGAGUGGGUACAUUGUGAAUGAAUAAUAAAGCAAUUUGCUCUAAUUUAAUUGCUUUAACCUUUCAAUCAGUUUUUACAGGUUUGUCCUUAUCUCAACCCUCAUAUGCUGUGUUGGAGGCAGAAGGUAAUGUCAACAGUCUGGGAGAGAUUAAAGCUCAACCACCUGCAAGGUGCAGUAUUGAGCUUCUGAUCAAACUGUACAGUAGGAGAGCCAUACUGAAAACAUCAAUGCAGUAUCCGGAUGUAGUAGAGCAGAUGGUGCAGCAAUCGUCACCAUCAUCGUGUUUUCAGUUUCAGUGGCGUAACUCACAAAUUAAGUAGAUUUUAAAACCCAAUUAUACUUUCUUGUUUAAUUAAAGAAUAUCUAUAUCGAUCAACUAAUAUAGAUACCCAAUGAAUAAGUAUGAUCACAUCAAUAAUUUCAGACAAAUAUAUCAUAGAACCAUGAAAUUGUGAAAUAAUCCAAUACAUUUUCAACACUCUUUAGUGUAGACCAUUUUUGUUUCUUUCCAGCAGUUUUUAAUUCUAAAAUGUCCAAAGUCUGUCUUUAUUUUAAAGCCAUUUUUCCUAAUGACUUUUUUAUUUCAUAAUGCCAGACUGCACUUUGUGAAUCUGACCUAGAGAGGCGCAAUAUAAAUAAACUUUACAUAACUGGCUCUGCCCCAUUGGUAAAAUGGCAUUGUGAAAUAAAAACAGACUUGGAAAAAGGGGCAUUGUAAAAUGAAAACCGCUGGAAUUAAAUAAAAAUGACAUGCAAUCAAAACUGUUUUACUGUGAAAAGAAGCAGGAUGAGUUUUAAAAAUGUAUUGAACUGUGUCACAAUUUCAUGGUUAUAUUAAAUAUUUUGAUAUGGAUGAAUUCCUAUGGUUAUUUAUUCCAUAACGUGCUAUAUAUUAAUUUAAUACUGGCCACAUUAGGCCUUCAUUAGCUCCUGCUUCCGGGACUGUUUCCACGUCAGCUCCAGGUAAGCUCUCCAUAGAAAAACCUCAGGGAAGCGGCUGUCCCGCUCUUCAGCGGAGGUGGGGCGGUUAACCAACCAGUUAGUCUUCAUCUUUGAGGUCUUUUCUCUUGUAAAGCCGAAAAAUAGUGUUUGAAAACACUUCCAAAAAAUAAUAAAUCAUGCCUUUCUAAACUAAUUGUUGAUUUUCAGGCUCUCCUGGCUGCAACUAAACGCACCCUUUUACAAUAUGGCGGACUUUUUAAACCGUCAAUGCCCCGCCCACUCUUUUGGCAUUGUUUAUUCAUCCAACUUUUUAAUGUAACUCUAAACACCUUUACUGCUAAUGUAGCGUUUUAUAAGCAAGCUAGCCUGCCAACAGUCGUGCCAUGUCACUUUAGGAUGGUUUUGUGGACUACAACAUUUUUUUAGGGCUCCAUCUGCUUCACACCUUCUAAAUGGGAAUUUCUACCGGAAGUCGUCGUUUACCCAUGUUGACGUCAGUCCCACUUUUACAUGCCAAGAUCACUGCUUCACUUCACAAAGGUGUGGUCCACCACGGCAGUAUUACUAAUACUGACCAUGGCUAGUUUAAAUGGACGCCAUUAAACAGUAGCAUUAAUAUGUACAUCAAAUGGAUCUUAAUGCGGUGCCAGAGCCACAGAAGAUCCAGCCAGAGCAGACGUAGCACCAGAGAGACGAAGCCUAAUGGAGUUUUAAUAGAUAAAAUGUUGGCAGGAUGUAUCGCAGGCUCCUCAGUAACAGCAGGAUGUGGAAAUCCAGACAAUGGUUUUUAAAUGGUGAUGGAUGGCAGUAAUUGGUUUCAUAUGCGCAGAUGGGAAGAGCGUUGGUUAUAGGCAUACUGGAAGAAGAUGGACACAGAUGGAGUGAAUGGAGGAGAGAUGGCAGAGCAAGGAGGCAGUUUGAUGAGCAGAACCUGUUCAGGAUGAUCGACAGAGGUGGAUGAGGGUUGGGUAAAAGUAGAAGUGAGAGCUUAUUAGGAAAGCUCAAAGGGACCUUGACAACAUGGUAACAAACUAACUGGUUGCUGGGGGCCUUUGACGCAAGCGAGCAGCAGCAGGUGUCUGAUUUGAAGCAAGGUGUUGAGGUCUGACAGGGUCUGUCUUUCACCUCAGUUUUUCCACCAUCGCUGCUUUGCUUUAAUGAUUUUUCCAUGUUGGCCAGUUUUGGAUGUGGCUCUGUCGUCAGCUUGAGAGGAACACUGCUUUGAGGCCGGAUGAAUCAUCGCAUGGUGUAUUGAUUGACCAUAAAAAAAAGAAAAACAAACAUAGUUCAUUCAGAGGCUUAUGGAACCCCCAAACUGACAAAAGGCAGUAAAAGGUCAUCAGUCAAGUCAAAAACACUACUGAAUACAUCAAUGACAUAAACAUUUUCCUUUAACCUCUAAUCAGUUGGUCAAAAAAAGAAAAUGUCAGAUCAUUUAAAGAAAUAAAUCAAAACUUUAUUUAUUUUACUCUUCAUUUGACCGUUCACUAAACCCCUCCCCUGAAAAGUGAUUGUCCAGUCAUGGAUUAGCAACCAUAACUAGGCGCAGCAAAGCUUCUGGACUAAGCUGCUAGCUUAGUCCAGAAACUUAUUUUGUGUGGUUUCUGGUUUACAUUACAACUAGACUAUUCACUGUGUUUAUCCUUAUCAUACUAUUAAUGCUAGGGCUAAUUAGCUUUACACAGCACUACAAAAACAAUAUGCUGCUUUUUUAAAAUUCUUCUACAUGGAUCCACUGGUGAGGAUGCUGACUUUUUGCCUGGGACAUGAAGUUUUAGCCUCAGUCUUUUAGCAUAAUACCAUGUAUUUGUGCUUAGCAAACAGUCAAAUGCUCCACCCUGUGUUCACCACUGAUGUUAUACACACACACCUUGGACCGAUCCCUGCCCUGGACAUGAAUGGACACACCCAUCUCACUAUCAUAUAAGCGUCAGAAAAAUUGGAAGGAAAAAAGGGAAUAGAUAUACGAUUAAACGUGUGCCCGUACUCCCCAAAAAAGAACGAAGGAGCUUUUAAAGAAAUUUUAAUUUAUUUUAUCAAAUCAUUGGAGGUAAAGGACAAAAUAAAAUGGUUAUCUCUAUUUUUAACCAACUUUUUACACUCCUUUUAUAAUUAUAUAACUAAUAGUAUUAUUUAUUGAUAUAUUUAGUUAUAUUCUAGACUUCUCUUCACCUUUUACUAACUUUCAUCUCUUUCAGGCCUCCGUAGGGGCCUGGCUUUAAAGGCUUAAUGAAAUAAAGGAGUUUUUUUUUUUCUUCCAAAGAGCACUUGACACAGAGGGAUUUAAACACACUGGAAAAGAUAAAACUUUAUUUCUCCCUGUCGUGACAAUACAAAGUCAACAAGUGCAAUAACAACCCAACUGAAAACGGUACUGAACAUUCUAUCUAGUAGUAAAUACAUAGACAGAACGUGGUGCACAUUAUCAUCACCACCACACCCAAAAAGUGAGGUAUCAACCACUACAAAGCUUCUGUGUACAGUAUUCAACUGUAAGGCAACUGUUACCAUGACAACCUGGAGAGACUGAAACAGAUGUGAGCUCCCUUCUUCCCAUCCUUUUUUUUGUUUUGUUUUGUUCUGUUUUUUUUCUUUUUUUGUAUUUGGGAAGAGGGUUGAGCUGAUACGAUUUACAGUACCACAUCACAUCAGGCCAGAGUCAAGACUGUUUUCAACAAAA